rnacentral:piRNA from 1 species
UGGCAUUUCCUUUAUUGACCUUGUCCC